UAAAUGCAGUACCUGUGAGGGUUUCUGGACAAUAUUUGUCAUUGUUUUGUGUUGUUAAUUGAUUUCCAAUAAUAAAUAUAUACAUACAUUUGCAUAAAGCAAGCUUAUUUGAGUAUUAAAACUUGACAAAAUCUCUCUUAAAGGUAUAUUUUGAACAGAUAAAUGGUGUGAUUUAUCGCGAUUAACUAAUUUAAUCAAUUGACAGCCCUAUGUCUUAACAUUUUCAUGUAGACCAAUAUAAAAAAAAAAAAUAAUACAUCCACAGCUUUUAGAAAGAUGCCGAAUAAAAGUAUGGCUUUUCCUGAAAAAAAUGUAUUAUGAUUGUGAAUUUAUAAUUU